GGAACUGCUUCAUAAUCCUCAGUAAGGCCAACCUCCAUGCACCAUUUUCUUGUCUGUAGCCAUGUCUGUGGGCUGUGGAGUUGGCCACCUGGGUGAGGGCCUGCUUUUUC
ensembl:miRNA